rnacentral:misc_RNA from 1 species
UUGGGGUCGGCACGGUGAAGGAAGAGUAGACCAUGGCUAGAGAAUGUUACGUCGCUUCACUUAAAGAGGUCAAGCUAAAGGAGGCUAUGAUUAUUGAAGGACUCGACGUCAGAGACGAGGACGAGCUGAUCAGAGGGGAACCAGUGGAAGAGCUUGUCGAGGUCCUCUUCGAUCCCAUCAACUCGACAAAAACAGCCAAGAUCGGCAACCAACUAUCCCCUCAAGCCAAAGUCGAUCUUACAACCCUCCUGACUGAACACAAUGAUGUGUUUGCUUGGACUCAUUCUGACAUC